UAGCUGAGAGGUUAGAGCGCCGGCCUUGAAAGCACUAGGGUGCGGGUUCGAUUCCCGC
rfam:Asian citrus Psyllid, Diaphorina citri - Florida Strain, whole genome shotgun sequence.